UUAGUUCGUGGAGUGAUCUGUCUGCUUAAUUGCGUUUCACACAAGAUCAUUUAUUAUUGGGUGAUGUUCGGGUUGUAACACUUGUCUUCGGGCAAUCGCUGUUCACCGACUUCAUUACAAAGUUUGAUCUUGCAUGCAACGAACGUGACCGCAACCUCUUGUUGCCUUCGUUCUCAGGGUUCGACCAUUAUCUUCGGAUUUGGUUGCGCUUAGAAGGCUCUACAAACUAGAGGGACCGCUGACAACUUUUCAAACCAGAGGAAGGUUGCGGCAAUAACAGG
rnacentral:rRNA from 1 species